GGAUGUGAGGGCGAUCUAGCUGUGACAUCUGUCACCCCAUUGAUAGCCAGGGUUGAUUUGGUUGAUCUGGCUGGCUAGGCGGGUGUCCCCUUCCUCCCUCACAGCUCCAUGUGCGUCCCUCCCGAAGCUGCGCACUCGGUGGAAGAGGACGACCUACCCCGCUAGAGGAAGUAGCUAGAGAGCUACUCAUAUACCCUGUCAAGUAUAUACCCUGUCAAGGGUAUAUGAGUAGCUGCGCUCCCCUGCUAGAACCUCCAAACAGGCUCUCAAUAUUUCUACAUAUUUGCUUUCUUCUUUUUUUUUUAAAGAUUUAUUUAUUUAUUUGAAAGGCAGAGUUACAUAGAGA
rnacentral:snRNA from 1 species